rnacentral:rRNA from 1 species
GACGAACGCUGGCGGCGUGCUUAACACAUGCAAGUCGAACGGAAAGGCCCUGCUUUUGUGGGGUGCUCGAGUGGCGAACGGGUGAGUAACACGUGAGUAACCUGCCCUUGACUUUGGGAUAACUUCAGGAAACUGGGGCUAAUACCGGAUAGGAGCUCCUGCUGCAUGGUGGGGGUUGGAAAGUUUCGGCGGUUGGGGAUGGACUCGCGGUUUAUCAGCUUGUUGGUGGGGUAGUGGAUUACCAAGGCUUUGACGGGUAGCCGGACUGAGAGGGUGACCGGCCACAUUGGGACUGAGAUACGGCCCAGACUCCUACGGGAGGCAGCAGUGGGGAAUAUUGCACAAUGGGCGGAAGCCUGAUGCAGCAACGCCGCGUGCGGGAUGACGGCCUUCGGGUUGUAAACCGCUUUCGCCUGUGACGAAGCGUGAGUGACGGUAAUGGGUAAAGAAGCACCGGCUAACUACGUG